AUGGGCUUCACUGAUCAUAGCCCAUUUGUGCUAGGAAGCCCAGAUUCUUUCCAACCUUCAUGUGGUCUCAAGCAAGGGGAUCCUCUGUCUCCUUACCUGUUCCUGUUUGUGGUUGAGGCACUUUCGUUAUUACUUCAUGAUGCUACGGCGAAUGGGGCAAUUCAGGAUUUCCAGCUGAACAGAAUGCUCCAGUGUAGUCUGGAAGAUCAAGAUUCUAUUUUGGUGAUUCUCAAAAUCACCACUGAUGGUUUUGAGGAUAAAUAUCUUGGUUUACCUGUGACGGAAGGGCAUAUGAAGGCCGACAAAUUUCAGUCUACAAAAGAUAAAGCGCUUAAGCGGGUUUCAGACUGGAUAGAAAAAUAUGCUUCUAGCGGAGUGAAGGAACUCCAGAUUAAGUCAGUCGUACAUGCUCUUCCGGUCUUUGCCAUGGGUAUUUUUAAAUUUCCUACUUCUCUCUGUGAGGAGUUAUCCCAGAUCAUUAGGAAUUUUUGGUGGGGUGACGAGGAGAAUAGGAAGAAAACUCAUUGGCUGGCGUGGGAUAAAAUGACAAGACCCAAAGGAGAAUGA
rnacentral:rRNA from 1 species